GGAAGCAGGACAGCUUGGUGGUUAAUAUGAUGGCGGGGCCAGGCAGGCGAGCAUGAUCAGCUUGGGGGCUACUGGGAUGGCGCGGAGCCGGGCAGGUGAAUGAGGGCCAGCCGUGGGGAUACGGGGCGGCACGGAGCCGGGCUGGAGGGUACGGGUCAGCUUGUGGGGAUGCAGAAUAGCCUGAAGAAAGGCUGAACAAUAGGUGCGGGCUGGAGAGGCGCCUCGCUGGACAGACAGAGGGAACAGCUGGGACAUGGGCCAGCUGAGGCGGCGCGGAGCCGGCCUGGGGGGUACGGGACAGCAGAAUAGCCUGGAGAAAGGCUGAACGACAGGUGCGGGCUGGAGAGGCGCCUCGCUGGACAGACAGAGGGAACAGCUGGGACAUGGGCCAGCUGAGGCGGCGCGGAGCCAGCCUGGGGGUACGGGUCAGCUUGAGGGAGUGACUGAGAAGGCACAGAGCUAGUCAGGAGGGUGAAGGCCAGCUGGGUGUUACAGACUGGAAAGAAACCUUAAAUUAAGGGUGUAAAGGACAAAAGGGGAAAGAUAUGCGAAAUAUUGACAGGAUAACAUUCACUUGCAUGAGGUUGACCAACCACCACCAGAGAAUUGCGCAGUGCUCGUCUGGCACUGGAUGUUAGCGUAAGGCCAAGAGAGUACCUCGAGACUGGUGAACGUAGUCAAAACAGACUUUUUUUUUUCCCCUCAAGGUUGCGUGCAUGCAGGGCUUGGAACUACGAUGAGCAUGAAGAAAAAGCCGAGACUCAGAAUGGGGAUGAAAAACUGAGGAAAUAUACAGGCAGGAUGAGAUUAAGCUUGAAAUGGGUGACUUGUCUAAUAGCAGGACUGGACACAGCACAGGCAGGGAGAUAGCUUAUCGGCAAUGGUGUUAAAAUGACCAGAUGCAACAAGCAGGUAUGCUAAAUUAAAUGGUGGCGAUAGAAGACAUGAGACAGAUGGUGGAGGUUUGGCUUAUAGUUAAAACACAACUUAUAGUGAGCGAUGAUCGGGAUCACUUGCUGACAUUACUCUCCGGAAACAGGUUAGACAGUGAAACGAGUUAGAAAAUGCUGAGGACUUGAGCUGCUGAAAUGGAUGAUGCAAGCGAGAAUUCAUGGCUUGUUUAAUUGAUAAGGUCUGGAACGAUUGUACCGAGAUUGUCAUGGAGGGAUUUAAGUCAACUUCACGAUCUGUGGCCAGCAACUGAACAGCGUGUGAUGCCUCACAACUGAGGCAAAACUCCUAAUUACUGGAUGAUUAAUACGUACUCGUGCGCAGAGACAAUUGGCAAUAUGACUUGUAUUAUGACACAGUCAAAGACAGCAUAGUCUUCGGUUGACAAGUUGGCUGAUAAAGGAGCUGAAAUAAAAAAUGCGGUAGCCGACACACCCGAGACAAUGGGCUGCAUGGCUCUCAGUAGCUGAGUGCGCAUACGAGUGCUGAUAUAUGAAUGAGUAAUCCCUCUAGGCUGCCCCGACUCCAGACGAGUUAACAUGAGGGCAUGGCUUAUGGGGGCAGAAGGUACACUGCAGUAAAACUGCUCAUAUGAGGACAUUUCCAAAGCGUUCAAUAACGAGGGUCCUACACUCUUUAGAACAUAUCAGCGGGCUACAGGCCACUAGUCGACGAGCUGAAGGUGCUACAUUGUAUAAACCUUCAUUAAUUAACAUUGCCUACCUCCAACGCUUGCUCGACUCAGUCGGUUAAUUGAGGAAACUGUGCGAAGCUCUGCGUAUUUCUGGUUGCUGCCAUAAUUCGAACACACACGGAGCUGAGACAGCAGCAGCAGGUCUGUUUAGCUGUCGCACGGGGGUAAACCCGGUGAAGAAUCUUAGAGCUCGUAUGGCGUUUUAAAGCGCCUCCCUAAACACGACAAGUCGAUUCUUCAACAUGCAGUUAAAAGCCCUUGAGCAUAUUGGGCGCAGCCUGAGUGGCCUACGAGCUCGGGAGAGAAUAGGCUAAUUGAAAUGCAGUUCGUAAUAAUGCGAAUGAGACAUGAGAAUGCUACGUCUUACCCCGACAGCCCGAGACGGGCGUAGAGAGGGAAAUCCGGUCUUGUGUGCUGACCAUGGCGGCAUGCGGAAGAGAGAAGCUGUUGACGUGGCUGACCCAUCGCGUGGCAACGGUGUGAAGACGAUGCGAGAGCGGCGGUGGAGAAAUGGAGGGAGAAUGGAUGGUGAGCUGGGAGAAAAAGGUGACGUGGAUCGGUGCGGCGAGACCUUGGCGGGCGAAGGAAGACGGCCUUGCUGCUUCCGUCGGAUCCUCUCUUCGUUUCUGUCGUCUUUUACGUGGCAUAUUUUAACAGGCUGUCUCCUCCACGUAGAGCUCCGCAGUUAGCUAGCUGGACUCACUGACUGUGCGGGAAGCAAUUGCGUCGUGCGUCAUGGCAAAAGUUAAAAGGUAACGAGGUGACGGGGCUUAUUAUGACGUUUUUCGAAGGUGGGUCGAGGAGUACGGGAAACCCCAGAUAGGUGAGAGAUAGGCGGGUGAGCCUGCUUGAAAUAAUCGAGGCUGAGAUCGGGAGAAACAUCUCUUGCAACAGAGGAGCGUCUGAGGG